UACGUAGGGUGCAAGCGUUGUCCGGAAUUAUUGGGCGUAAAGAGCUCGUAGGCGGUUCGUCGCGUCGGCUGUGAAAACCCGGAGCUCAACUCCGGGCCUGCAGUCGAUACGGGCGGACUUGAGUGUUGCAGGGGAGACUGGAAUUCCUGGUGUAGCGGUGAAAUGCGCAGAUAUCAGGAGGAACACCGGUGGCGAAGGCGGGUCUCUGGGCCGUAACUGGACGCUGAGGAGCGAAAGCAUGGGGAGCGAACAGG
rnacentral:rRNA from 1 species